GUGCCGUGCGGGGACACAGGAGGCUCCAAAGCAGUGCUAUUUAUUAUUCUUUUUUAUUUAUCAAAAUCGCCAUUUGCAGCUGUAGGAGAGGUACAUAGAUAUCUGACUACGCUCAGUGGAAACCACCCAGCACUAGCUCAUUGACAAAGGCCUAAAAGCAACUAGAAAGCCACAGAUUGCCUGAGAUUCUUACACCUGGAAGACUCGGACAGGUACAGUCCCAGAGAAUGGGCUAGAGAAGAGAGAAGUGUGCUUGCCUUGUCCCUAACAGAGAUCUUGAUCUCCUGGACAACCAUCCACCUGCCAGCCACAGAACAAAGCUCUGUCAAACAGAGGGACUAGGGAAAAGAUGAGGAGCUAUUAAUAUAGCCAAGACAGGAACAAGCAGUUUGCAUAUACUAGCCAUGACUUCUCUGCCUCAGGUCCUCUCCUGCUGCAAAAGGUAUGUUUGUAUGCACAGUUUGUAUGACAUUUAAUAUAUGCCAGUAUAUAGAAUAUAUGUAAUCUUGCCAGGGACUAGUAUUUUAGGACACAAACUUCUAUUAAAUUUUAUUUACUAAGAAACAUAUACCAAAUGGAAGGAAAGUAUGACUUGAAAAUGCUUUACCCCCAGUAAAAAUAAGAGAAACAAAAGGAGUUUAGAGUUCCUGAAUCCCUGAAAGUGAAAUAUCCAAGAACUUUCCCCAGGUGAAAUCUCUUCUUUAUCUGCCACCAUCUCUGAAAAUAAAAAGUACCAAAUUAUAUGGUUUUACUUGCUUUUGAAAAUGCUGUGCAACUCAAAAGCCCUUUUUAAAAGGGCUCUUGACAUUUGCAGCAGUUCUAUGAGAAGUGAAGACGUGGCCUGAGCCCUUCUCUUACAAUGAAGCUCUGAGGCACCCUUUCCACAUGUGUGUCUGCUCUAAGUACACCAACGGCAGAUGGAUGACCAAGAGGAAAGAGGCAAGCAGGGUGCAGUGACACACCCCUGUGAUCCCAGCAACUGAGGAGGCUGAGAAUUUCAAGUUCCAGGCAAGCCUCAGCAACUUAGGCCCACCCUGUCCCAAAAUUUAAAAAAUAAAUAAAAUAAAAAGGACUUGGGAUGUAGCUCAGAGGUAAAGCACCCUGAAUUAAAUCCCUAGUAUUAAGAGAGAGAGAGAAGAUGUGAAAUUUUAGGAUGCUGGCAGCAACCCAAACUGAUGAGUGUUUGGACAGAUGUGCCUAGUGAUAAGAAGGGCUGAAAGGGAAGCCCUGCUGGACUCUGGGCCAAAGCUGGCAUAUCCUGUAGGAGCUGGGUUUCUUGGUGGUGGGGGGAGGCCUGGAAAUGCUCAAAGGGAGAAGAGAAACUACUGCCCACUGCAACCUGGAGCUGUGACUCUCAAGUCUCACAAGUCGUGGUAAGAGAAGAGAAAAUCCUGACACAGCCUUCUGACCAGAACUGUGCUAUGCCAGCCAGAGAGCACAUUUGAUUCCUUCAACUAUGACAGCAGGACUGCUCCUAGUGACAGACUUGUUAGCCAGAGAGAAGGGAAGCAAAAAGACAGACUCCCCGUAAGCUGGCAAACCGAGAGCUCCAAUGUGCAUGAGUAGCUCAAACGCUAACAGACCAUCCAAAUCAGGAUGAAUUCAAUUCCAGAUAGAAUAAAAGCAAUGGAGCAUUCUGAAAAGAGCUUUAAAAUAAAUAUGUUUAAAACCCUUAAAUAAAUAUAUGAAAGAAUAUCCACGGAGAGGGAUAAGAAAUUAUAAGAUGACUGGCAACAGUGAAAUUUAUUUUAAAGAACCAAUUGGAAAUCCUAGAAAUGACAAAAUUUACUAAUUGACAUCUUUUUAAAAAUCCAAUUUCAGAGGACUGCAUGGAGGGCAGGGAAGCAUCAUCACUGAGAUAAUGGCUGGGAAUCUUCCAGAGGGGAAGAAACCCCUGAGUCUACAAGUCCACAAAGCUAUCAAACACUAGGUAUGAUGGAUGGAAGUAAAUCCAUGUCUGAGCAAAUUGCAGUUCCACUAGAGGGUCAGUUCAGUCAAAGGGGAACAUUAGAAGUUACCUGAAAAAGAAAAAAUCCCUGUGAAUGAAGGAAAGCAGCCAACGGGAUGAGGAACGUAGGAGUGCAUGCGUCUCUGGGCUUGGGCUGGGUAGCUGAGCUGAGAAAUCCAAGGGCAGGGUGGCCGCUGGCAACUGGCUCACUUCACUUCACCAAGCUCCAAAUGCCUGAUUCCAGAAAAACCGUUUCCUGAUUUUAGCACCACUGUGGAGGGAUGAGAGAUGCAGCUCUGUGCAGGCUGCAGAGGAUGCGACUAGCAGGGAAUGAGGCACUUACAUUAGGUGCUGGGUUCAGCUCAGUGACUCCAACAACUGGUUAUCAGCAGGACUUUAUGGGGAGGAUUUUCAAUUACUUUUAUUAUAGAAAUCUGCAGUGCCAUCAUGGGAGAGCAAGCCCUCAUACAACCCUUCUCCCUGCCCACUCAUCACCUGACUUCACCAGUUAGCACCAGCCUGCUUCACUUAUUCUCUCUCCUCUUGCCUUGUCUGGAUUAUUUUAAGGCAGAACUCAGACUUCACAUAACUUUGUCCAUAAGUGUGGCAGAUGUAUCUUCAGAAGGUAAGGACUCUAAAAAUGCAUUUUUUCCUAGUAUCAUUAUCUCACCCUGAAGAUGAGCAAUAAUUUCUUAAAAUCAUCAAAUAUCAAGUCAGUGUUCACAUUUCCAGAAUUUGUCUUGUUUUGUUUUGCAGUACUGGGAUGGAACCCAAAGCCUUGCACAUGCCAGUCAAGCACUCUCCCACUGAGCUAUAUCCCAGCCCUCCAAAGACUAUAAACCUACCCAUAUAUCCCCUGGACCCAACCCUCACAUGGAGAACCAGUCUCAGGCCUCUAGGUAUUUCAAGCCUCCCUAAGUGAGUCUGAGAUUCAGUCAGAUUUGAGAAUUCCUGGCAGAGCUGGACUUUCCCGUCCUGUUUAAUGUAAGACUGCAUCACUUCUCCCACAUGACACACCUCUCUCCUCUUAGGUGAGAUGCUUUCCUUUCUGUCACUGCACCACAGGGAAAUCAGCUGCACUCUGGUGCUGGCAGAAGAGGGCACUGGCUUAAGAGGCAGCUCCCAGGUUUGAGGUCCAUCUCUGGCACUAUUAUAGGACAAUAAGCAGGUCCUUGUAGCUCUCUGAAACUCACUUUCCUUGGAAAAUGAACAACGAUGGCAUUGUACCUUGACUGCCCUCCUUUCCCAGCUGCCGCAAGGAUCGAGUUAAGGGAAGGCACAUGAAUACAUGGAGUGUUCAUUGACAAAGAAACACUCCCUUCCAGCGUGGAGCAAGGGCGCCACGCAGGCGGCCCUGAGUUUUCUUCAUGGACUCAAACGUGAGGGAAACAGCACAGAGACAUUUACACAUGCGCAUGGAGGAAAAAUCAUUAAACUUUAACUUUUAUGCAUAUUUUAUGUUUAAUUAUUAACAGGCACUAUGUUAGAACUUGUACUUGUUCAGAAUAUUGCAGCAAACCUCUGAAGUCUUGGAGGGCUUUAAGUCAUAGAAUACCAUAACAACACCGUAGUUUUUUAUUAUUAUUUUGGAAGGGAGGGGUGUGUAUUUUGCAAUUGUUUUCAUUGAAGUAAAUUGUCUAUAGUGAAUUUGGUAUAUUAGACCUUGUUAUCUUUUUAAAUGUAUAUUCCAUGGAGGAGGAAACUUGCACCCACCUAGCUCAUCCCCCAAACCAGCCCCCAACAUGGCCAGCUGCAUUCUAGUUGUCUCGAUUGCAAAGGUUUCUGCCAAGCUGCUGUCCCCACCCAACCCUACCUCCUCUGGCAUCACACAUCUGCCAACUCCUCUCUGCAUGCCUAGGUCAGCAACUUGUCUCCUUGUUCCUGGUGCUUCUCCCUCCUUCCUAUUGUGUAUAUCCACUGGUCACAGAAACUCUCUAUCACAAGAUGCUGUGAUUGUGUUCUCUCCUGCUCUCUUUCCCUGUACAAACCCUUCCAACCCAACACUACUCUGUCUCUUGGUGUGCUCACCCCAAUAAAAGCCUAGCGUCAAAGCCAGCUCAACGCAGUUAAUUUUUUAGCCUAAUUUCCUAUGAUUCCUGAUGUGAACUCCAAGCCCUGUAGCUCUCCUCAUCUGCAGGAGCACCACUUGCCAACCUCCCCAGCUUUGCUGCUACUCUCCCUGCACCAGAAGCCCCCUUCUCACAUCCAGCAGGUAAAAUCCUGGCCACCUCUGCUGGCUCUCAGGGUUGCUUACUGGCUUGGACUUUCCUUUGCUAAACCCAAAGAAUUUUGCCUUCCACCCUGUGAAGGUAAGUAUGGCCGCAUGACUUGUGGUCAGUGAGCAGGUGCAGAAUCAGCAGGUCACUUCUGUUGGGAGUGGCGUCCAGUCGUGUCUCCCUUGCUGCCAUGAGAAAGGAUGUGGUGGUGUAGAGGUGACAGGGUGCCCAGCAUCCCAGGCUUAGCCAGACCCCACACACAGCUACCCUGAGUCACUGAGCUGAAUUGGGGGGUCUGCAUUUUCGAGGGUACAGUAGAAAACAUUUGUUGCGGUGAGCCCCUGAAAUGUGGGCAUUGCUUAUUACACUUGGCCUGUCUGGACUCCAGGGCCAUUGCCCUAAGGCCCAGCUCAGGUCCUCUGCCAGCUCAGAGCUCCCUGCUAACUGCUGUCAGAGGGCACCCCUUCCGCCACACUAUCCCCUUGGUGACAAUGCCCCAGC